rnacentral:rRNA from 1 species
UACAGAGGUCUCAAGCGUUGUUCGGAUUCAUUGGGCGUAAAGGGUGCGUAGGCGGCGCGGCAAGUCGGGUGUGAAAUCUUGGAGCUUAACUCCGAAACUGCAUUCGAUACUGCCGUGCUUGAGGACUGGAGAGGAGACUGGAAUUUACGGUGUAGCGGUGAAAUGCGUAGAUAUCGUAAGGAAGACCAGUGGCGAAGGCGGGUCUCUGGACAGUUCCUGACACUGAGGCACGAAGGCCAGGGGAGCAAACGGG